ensembl:snRNA U6 U6 spliceosomal RNA
GUGCUCAUUUCAGCAGCACAUGCACUAAAAUUGGAAUGAAACUAAGGAAAUCAUCAUGGCCCUUGUGCAAGGACGGAAGGAAAAUUAAUGAAACUUUCCUUUUAUUU